CACACACACACACACACACACACACACACACACACACACAUGACAGACAGAGAGUGUCUAUUUAGUUUUUUUUUCCAUAUUUCAGCAAAAUAGUUUCUAUUGGAUGUUCCUAAUCUGCAGUGGUCAGUAUCUAGCAAAAGUGCUCCAAGGAAGGAACAGUGGUGAAGCUGAAGCCGACAGCCAAGGCUCAUUAAUGCAUGUGAGGAGCGAAGGCUGGUCCAUGUGAUCUGAUCCAACAGACGAGCUCCUGUAGCUCAAACUGCUGAACAAAAAAGAGUCUUGAUGUAUACCUACCUCAUCCGAAGGUGGGAGCAGGGUUCCUUAACUGGAACUAAGAGACUCAAACCUAUUUUAGAGCUCCAUGAACACAUGGGGUGUGAAGGUUGGAGUGGAAGAACCCAACUGCCCUGCACAGAUGCCUAACCUCCACAACCCACAGCCCAACUAAACAGUUCUGGGAUGACUGAACCUCAGACAUCUUCACCUAACAUCUGCGCCUCAUCUCAAUAACGCUUUUAUAGCUAAGUGAACAUUAUUCCUCACAGCCAUGUGGCAACAUCUAGUGGGAAUCCUUAAGUUAAGUUUAUUAUAACAGCAAAAAGAGGACUAAUUUUGGAAUUUGUUCAACAAGUACAUAUGAGUGUGAUGGUCAGGUGCCAUCUAAUUUUGGUCAUGUAGUUUAUAUAGACAACUGUGGUUUGUACAAUAAUUUUAGGGAUGGAAAUGAUGUUUGGAAACAUUAGCACAGUGGAAUGUUGAGUAAGAAGCAAACCGAACUGAUCUUUUAUCCUGAUGUUUUUUUUUUACAUUUAUUUACAUUUCAUUUAUAUUUCUGGCAUAGCGGCUUUUCUCGUCUGCCAGUUGAGCAUUGGAGGGAUGAAGGCCUUGCUCAGGAUCCCAGCAGUAACAGCUUGGUGAGCUCGUAUUACCUGAUGUUGGUACAGUGGGAGAAGGGCUCAUGUCUGGACACUGGAAAGUCGGAUGCUUGAAAUUCUGCUGUCGAACUUUAUCUGGAUACUCCUGCAAAAGCAAAGAAUUGA